CUUUACUCUCAUAAGAACCCAGAAGUUAUAUCGGAGAAACUGGGUAAGGAACUUGAAUCUUGUAGCAAAUGGCUGAUUGAUAAUAAAUUAUCACUUCAUUUGGGGAAAACAGAAACUAUUCUGUUUGGGUCAAAACGUAAAUUAUCUAAAAUUCGUAACUUUGAUGUUACUUGUAAUAAUCACACAAUUUCCUCGCAAAAUUGUGUGAAAUAUUUAGG
rnacentral:lncRNA from 1 species